UACAGGGGGGGCAAGCGUUGUUCGGAAUUACUGGGCGUAAAGGGCUCGUAGGUGGCCAACUAAGUCAGACGUGAAAUCCCUCAGCUUAACUGGGGAACUGCGUCUGAUACUGGAUGGCUUGAGUUUGGGAGAGGGAUGCGGAAUUCCAGGUGUAGCGGUGAAAUUCGUAGAUAUUCGCAAGAACACCAGUGGCGAAGGCGGCUCACUGGCCCGGUACUGACGCUGAGGUGCGAAAGCGUGGGGAGCAAACAGG
rnacentral:rRNA from 1 species